AUAAACAAAAACAAAGGAAGAUGUUGUAACUGUUAUAUAUUUUAUUUUGGAACUUUAUUCUCAUGUAAUUUUUUAUGGCAUAGGUACCUCUGCUUGGCGGAGCAUUUUGUGCAUGCACAUGGCAUUUCUUCUAUAACUCUGAGUCCCUUGAGGUGCUGGUGGCCCUGCAAGCAGCACUGACUGUUGUUGGUAACUUCACAAUGUGCAUUGCAGCAUUUCGUAUAUACAAAUCUUGUCAACAAGGUUCAGGAACUCGAUAAUAUAUAUUAUCAUGGGGUUUUUUCUUUAUUUCCUGGGACAAAUCCAUAAUCAUUUGCCCUUGGGUCACUCGGCAAGGAAGUAGGAAACGGUGGAGGCAAAGUUGAAGCUUUCUUAUUGGUGAUCAGAAAUGGAUCCGCCAAUGAGUAGAAGUUGAGUGUAUCGGAUGGGUACUCCUUGAAAGGGAAAUUUAUUGUGUUAAUAAUUUCUGUAGUUAGGCAAGCUGUGGAUCCUGAUUCAUAGCCAUGGCUCAAUAUCAAUUAUGAAAUGUUUCGCAAUGCUUAGAGUCCAAGGAAAUUAUUAUCUUCAAUUUAAAGUUGGAUGGGGUGGAUGGAUGGUCAAUGCCAGCAGGUAGGAGCUGUUCUGUAUUGUAAAAAUAUGAAAUCUCACGGUAGGAACAGUGACUUUUUCAACCUGGUAAAUUGACAGUUAGCCCACCACUUGUAAUAUUAUACUUAUUUAAGGCUUUGUGUUAAUAAUCAUGUGAUGCUGCAGCCUAUUUAGACUU